AUGCAGCUGCUAGACGGCGCGAGUGUCCGCGACACCGAACGCCGGGCGCUGGCCAGAAGGGAGGGCAGCCGGGAGGUCCAGGCCUCCGAGCCCGGGUUUGCAGGCGGGGCUGCACCUCCGUGCUCCUACGAGCAGCAUUUCGGCCCCGGCACCAAGCUCACGGUCCUAGAAAACCUGAACAGGGUGAGCCCACCCAGAGUGGCUGUGUUUGAGCCAUCAGAAGCAGAGAUUGGCCAGAAAAAGAAGGCCACGCUCGUGUGCCUGGCCACGGGCUUCUACCCCGACCAUGUGGAGCUGAGCUGGUGGGUGAAUGAUAAGGAGACCCGCAGCGGGGUGAGCACGGACCCUCAGCCCUACAAGGAGUUUCCUGACAACGAAAACUCCAGCUACUGCCUCAGCAGCCGCCUGAGGGUCUCCGCCGCCUUCUGGCACAACCCCCGCAACCACUUCCGCUGCCAAGUCCAGUUCUAUGGGCUCACAAAAGACGACCCCUGGGACCAGACGGACCGGGCCAAACCUGUCACCCAGAACGUCAGUGCUGAAGUUUGGGGCCGAGCAGACUGUGGCUUCACUUCCGUGUCCUAUCAGCAAGGUGUCCUGUCUGCCACUCUCCUCUAUGAGAUCCUGCUGGGCAAGGCCUCCCUGUACGCCGUGCUUGUCAGUGCCCUUGUGCUGAUGGCCAUGGUCAAACAAAAGAAGUCUUGAGGCCAGCUCUCACAGCGUAUCCUGAAUGCUUCAUCCUGAACCUUCCCAUCCCUACUCGUCUGUGUUCCUAAAGAGCUUGUCUCUUUCUACCCCUCCCUACAUGGGUGUCUUUCCUUCCUGACUACUUCCCUGCAGACUGAAUACUGGCCCUGGAUCAGAAACAGAUUAAACCAAUAAACAUGGCAAACUUGUGUCUCAGUGGUGUCUUUGGGGUCCAGACUUGGCUGACACCCUGUCACCUGAGGAAGUCACUGUCCCUUCAGACAUAGGGAGUGCUGGAGCUCCUUCCUCUCUGACCUGCGCUGCUCCUUCCUGACUCCAAAAGCCAUGGUCCCUAGUAGGCAUGCCAGUGUGGAGCUAACCUGGAGGAUAAUGGCUGGGCUCUAGAAAAUCAGCAAGGCCGGGACACAGACGGGAUUAUAGUGAAGCAUAACAUGUUAAGCACAGCACAGAGCCCAGGCAGACCCAAGGGUUCCAACUCCUAAUGACUUGUGAAUUUAUUCAUGUGUCAUUUGUCACGCCUUUAGGUUUUUAUCAGCAUCUGUCCUUGACAUCUCCAACUUACGUUGUUUCAGGAUUUGAGUUUAAGAUUUAUGGUGUUUUUCAUGUCUGGGUUGGGAUCUUAGAAAAAAGCACAGCUGUUUUCUCUUAGUUCAAUGAGAAGAAAAAUUUAUACUAAUAGUGUUUAGACAAGAUACCAUG